UACGGGGGGGGCAAGCGUUGUUCGGAAUUACUGGGCGUAAAGGGCUCGUAGGUGGCCAACUAAGUCGGACGUGAAAUCCCUCGGCUUAACCGGGGAACUGCGUCCGAUACUGGUUGGCUUGAGUUUGGGAGAGGGAUGCGGAAUUCCAGGUGUAGCAGUGAAAUGCGCAGAUAUCAGGAAGAACACCCGUGGCGAAGGCGGCUCUCUGGGACGGUACUGACGCUGAGACGCGAAAGCGUGGGGAGCGAACAGG
rnacentral:rRNA from 1 species